GCAGCUGAAAGAACAGGUAGACCUACUGGAGAAAGGUGGCUUUUAUUUCUGGAAAAUUCAUCAUAAAACCAUCUCAGACUUGCAUUUGGAAGAGUGCUGCAUGUCUGCUUUGAACAUCCUGUUUAUUCUGAGGAGAAAUCCCCUGUCUGGAUAGAAGAGACCCCAUCUAAAGAGCCCAGAU